GCGGUAAGUACGGAAGGGAGGAAUGUCGGUGACUGUUUGUGCUAUAAUAAUCAGUUCAGUGUUUGCUUUCGCUUAUUAACAUUGGUGUGGGGAGGUAACAAAAAUUUUAUUGCAGUGAACUUUAUAAGCUUCUCAGAAGACUUAAUGAUUCAAGAAUGCCUGUUUACAGCACUAUUGAUCGGUUUUUUUUAAACUUCUACGGUGGCUGUCUUCGUGUGGUUCGAACCAAUUCAGCCAUAAAAGCUGUUUGCAAAGGCACUCGCAGAAAUCCUAUUAGAAAACAGAAAAUUAUGUUAAGGAUCAAUGCCAAGACUUAUUCGAAAUGAUCGCUACAUUUUCAUGUAGUCCUACCGUCGGUCAACUGUUCAUCUUCUGACAACGUGCACGAAGCAAAUUAGGAUCAACAGAUGCCAACGGCUUCUUCAGUGGCACGCGCGUGCCCAUGAAAGUAUCAUUUUUAUAGAUAAAAAAAGUUUUCACUGUUGAAGAAAUUUUUAAUAACGACAAAAUAUAUGCAAAAACUUCCAAAUACCCAAAAAAUGUAAUUUCAAGAGUUCAACGUGGUCACUAAUUAGCUGCUGUAAUGGUUUAGUGCGGAGUCUCUUUUAAAGGCGUAGUAAAGCAGUUAAGCAAUACCCUCGUCGAUAGAGAGCUUUUGAUCUUCCUGCAAGAUUCUGCUUCAGCACACAAGGAAAAAUUUUAAUAUUCCAGCAAUAUUCCUGGUUUCAUACCUGUAGAGGAUUGGCCAUCUUGAAUUCCAGAUUUGAAAACAUUUGACUACAGUGUGUGGCCUUAACUGCACAACACAACCUUAUUCAUUAGCAGCAAAGUGUUGGCGUUCAUUGUUGUGGUCGCGCUCCUAUUGGUUGUACUCGCCGAUCCACACUGUCUUCUUCGACCAAUAAGAGCUUCCGCUUCUGAGCAAUUGCUUUCUUCAAACGGUAAAAUUGUUGACCGCACAGGACCGAACUAAGAAUUUAGCCAGAGAGAAGAAGCCUCUUCCUGACCAUCAAUUCUGGUUUGGCCAACGUUUGCGUCGGCGCACCGCUAUUCGACCACGACAAUUUUUGCUUGACGCCUUCAGACAUGGAUCGAUUUUGUUGUUCAUGGAAACUCGGUUAUUGAAGUUUUUAUUGCGUUAAUUCGUGUGGCACCCAUACAUCAAAAUAAUUUUUGUAUCCAGCUUUAUUUAAAUGGUUCCAAACGGUCUUUUGUAAUAUGUUUAGCUUGUGGGCCAUCGAAACCGUGCUAACUUGACGGUCGGACUCGACGAUUUCUAUUAUUUUAUUAUUACUUAUAUUUUCUAGAAUUGGACCGCAAAUACUAUUCACAUUUUCAGCCGAUUUCCUUAUGUUUUUGAAUUAAUUGGAGAAAAAUUAAAAUGUGCCAUAUUUUCCCUUUGCUCGUGCCCAUCUUUUAUGCCUGCUCAAACAAUACUAAGUCAAGCAAUCACACAACAUCUGAGAAGAGUUUUUAAUAUGAAAUCUUUCUGACGACAUAUGGCGUUAUCCAAUCGCACUUAAGCGACGCGAGGUCCACCUUUUAAGAUCCAAAUGUAUUUUUUGCUAUUUCAUAAAAUAUUAUAAUGUAUAUAAAGAAAGUAAUCCCUCGAAGUUGACUUGGUAUAUAUAGUAUAUGAAGUGGUACUUAUAUAUUAUCUUUUUUAGGAAGCUUUUGCUGAGUACCGUGUCUGAUUAGUCGAGUACCAUUAGAGAAUUUUUAAAAUAUAUUUUUGAACAUACGAUAAUCUUUUUGUAUAUAACUUAUAAGAGAUUUAGUAACUAUCGGAGCUUUCGUGGACUGCUUCGCAUUUCCAAUGUUGAAUAAACAUAGAAAUUUUUUUUGGAUGUA